GUACCCCGUGAUCGGAAUGAAUACGCUCUAAGCCCUCUAAGGAUGACCUACUGAAGGGCAAGACUAAUGCCAGCCACUGCAGUAUUUUAGCUCCAGUAGCGUAUACUAAAAUUUGUUGCAGUUAAAAAGCUCGUAGUUGGGCAUCUGUUCUGGACGUGGGGGCGCGCUCACGUAGUCACCCGUCAUUUCCUCGCUUCCUCGAGGGGGGGGGGGAUUUUAACCUGUCCUCUCCUUGUGGAUGGUGGUAGUCACUUUGCAAAAAUUAGAGUGCUCUAGGCAAGCCUAACGCUUUAAUAGCAAUGCACGGAACGAUGGAACACGACCUCAGUUCUGGGUUCGUUGGGUUCAAGGAAUUCGAGGUAAUGACUAAUAGAAACAAACGGGGGUAUUCGUAUCCCGACGCUAGAGGUGAAAUUCUAAGACAACCUAAUGCAAAGUCCUUUGCCAAAAAUUCUUCCAUUAUCCAAGAAUUAAAGUCAGAAGCUCGAAGAAGAUUUGAUACCUUUGUAGGUCUGACCAUAAACGAUUCCCGCCAGAGAUCCAGCUGUG